AUUUACUACAGGAUCCAAACUGUCAGCUGAAGACACUGAGGUUUUUGGGUCCUGCUGCAGAUGAAGCCUGUCAGUAUGUGACUGGAAUUGUGGGUAAAAACCCGUUACUCCUGAGAGAGCUGAAUCUGAGUGAACGUGAUCUAGGACACUCAGGAUUGAAGAAACUUGCUCUGGUACUGCAGGAUAAACACUGUAAACUCAACACACUGACUUUGAAUAACAGCAGUAUCACACCAGAAGAUUGUCGUGUUCUGACUGAAGCUUUACAUUCAAACCCUUCAAACCUGAUAGAGCUGGAUCUGAGUGGAAAUAAACUAGGAGACUCAGGAAAUGAGAAGAUCUGCCAUCUGUUGGAAAACACACAGUGCAAAUUGGAAAA